CUACGUAGCUCAGAGUUUGAUCCUGGCUCAGAACGAACGCUGGCGGCAUGCCUAACACAUGCAAGUCGAACGAGACCUUCGGGUCUAGUGGCGCACGGGUGCGUAACGCGUGGGAAUCUGCCCUUGGGUACGGAAUAACUCAGAGAAAUUUGAGCUAAUACCGUAUAAUGACUUCGGUCCAAAGAUUUAUCGCCCAAGGAUGAGCCCGCGUAAGAUUAGCUAGUUGGUGGGGUAAAGGCCUACCAAGGCGACGAUCUUUAGCUGGUCUGAGAGGAUGAUCAGCCACACUGGGACUGAGACACGGCCCAG
rnacentral:rRNA from 1 species